rnacentral:rRNA from 1 species
CCUGGCUCAGGAUGAACGCUAGCUACAGGCUUAACACAUGCAAGUCGAGGGGCAGCGGGAUCGAAGCUUGCUUCAAUUGCCGGCGACCGGCGCACGGGUGAGUAACGCGUAUCCAACCUUCCGCUUACUCGGGGAUAGCCUUUCGAAAGAAAGAUUAAUACCCGAUGGUAUCUUAAGCACGCAUGAGAUUAAGAUUAAAGAUUUAUCGGUAAGCGAUGGGGAUGCGUUCCAUUAGGCAGUUGGCGGGGUAACGGCCCACCAAACCUACGAUGGAUAGGGGUUCUGAGAGGAAGGUCCCCCACAUUGGAACUGAGACACGGUCCAAACUCCUACGGGAGGCAGCAGUGAGGAAUAUUGGUCAAUGGGCGAGAGCCUGUACCACCCAAGUAGCGUGAAGGAUGACGGGCCUACGGGUUGUAAACUUCUUUUGUGCGGGAAUAAAGGAGCCUACGUGUACGCUUUUGCAUGUACCGUAACGAAUAAGCAUCGGCUAACUCCGUGCCAGCAGACCGCGGUAAUACGGAGGAUGCGAGCGUUAUCCGGAUCUAUAGGGUUUAAAGGGAGCGUACACGGGUUCUUAAGUCAGCUGUGAAAGUUUGGGGCUCAACCUCAAAAUUGCAGUCGACACUGUAGACCUUGAGUACGGUUGAUGCACGCGGAAUUCGUGGUGUAGCGGUGAAAUGCUUAGAUAUCACGAAGAACCCCGAUUGCGAAGGCAGCCUGCUAAGCCGCCACUGACGUUGAGGCUCGAAAGUGCGGGUAUCAAACAGGAUUAGAUACCCUGGUAGUCCGCACGGUAAACGAUGGAUACUCGCUGUUGGCGAUAGACGGUCAGCGGCCAAGCGAAAGCGUUAAGUAUCCCACCUGGGGAGUACGCCGGCAACGGUGAAACUCAAAGGAAUUGACGGGGGCCCGCACAAGCGGAGGAACAUGUGGUUUAAUUCGAUGAUACGCGAGGAACCUUACCCGGGCUUGAAGUGCAGUGGAAUUAUCCGGAAACGGAUAAGCGAGCAAUCGCCGCUGUGGAGGUGCUGCAUGGUUGUCGUCAGCUCGUGCCGUGAGGUGUCGGCUUAAGUGCCAUAACGAGCGCAACCCUUGCUGCCAGUUACUAACAGGUUAUGCUGAGGACUCUGGCAGGACUGCCAUCGUAAGAUGCGAGGAAGGUGGGGAUGACGUCAAAUCAGCACGGCCCUUACGUCCGGGGCUACACACGUGUUACAAUGGGGAGUACAGAGGGCAGCUACCGGGCGACCGGAUGCGAAUCCCGAAAGCUCCUCUCAGUUCGGACUGGAGUCUGCAACCCGACUCCACGAAGCUGGAUUCGCUAGUAAUCGCGCAUCAGCCACGGCGCGGUGAAUACGUUCCCGGGCCCUGUACACACCGCCCGUCA